UACAGAGGUCUCAAGCGUUGUUCGGAUUCAUUGGGCGUAAAGGGUGCGUAGGUGGCGCGGUAAGUCGGGUGUUGAAAUCUCGGAGCUUAACUCCGAAAUUGCAUUCGAUACUGCCGUGCUUGAGGACUGGAGAGGAGACUGGAAUUCAUGGUGUAGCAGUGAAAUGCGUAGAGAUCAUGAGGAAGACCAGUGGCGAAGGCGGGUCUCUGGACAGUUCCUGACACUGAGGCACGAAGGCCAGGGGAGCAAACGGG
rnacentral:rRNA from 1 species